rnacentral:misc_RNA from 1 species
GCAAUCCCAUAAACCGUGGCUCAGUUCAGAUCGUAGGCUGCAACUCGCCUACGUGAAGUAGGAAUCGCUAGUAAUCGCAGGUCAGCAUACUGCGGUGAAUACGUUCCCGGGCCUUGUACACACCGCCCGUCACACCAUGGAAGUUGGCCAUGCCCGAAGUCGUUACUCCAACCCUUGUGGAGGAGGACGCCGAAGGUGGGGCUAAUGACUGGGGUGAAGUCGUAACAAGGUAGCCGUACCGGAAGGUGCGGCUGGAUCACCUCCUAACAGGGAGACAACAAAAUGUUUAUAUUAUUAUUUUGUCACCUUAGGUCGAUCGGUAUCUCACGUUCUUAGUUUAUUAAGAAUUUCAUUUCCUAAGUUUUUCUAGGUCACACCCAUUAUUUUUCCUGGGCCAUUAGCUCAGGUGGUUAGAGCGCACCCCUGAUAAGGGUGAGGUCCCUGGUUCAAGUCCAGGAUGGCCCAUAUCUCUAUGUUGGGGGUAUAGCUCAGUUGGUAGAGCGCCUGCUUUGCAAGCAGGAUGUCAGCGGUUCGAGUCCGCUUACCUCCACUGAUUACCACCUCUUCCAUAUCUAUAGAAAGGAAAUGUUUUGAGUUGUGAUCAAAUUCUGAACGAAUCUAGCUUCCUAAUGAAAUCAUUAAGAUGCUGGACUCAUUGAAUUAAUUUCAUUGUUUUCAGAGAACCUUGACAACUGCAUAGAUUAUUUUUAAAGACAAUAAGCAUCUUUAAUGAUGCAGAUUUAUUAUUUG